rnacentral:rRNA from 1 species
CGGAUGGAAGUUAGAAACUAGUGGCGGACGGGUGAGUAACGCGUGGGUAACCUGCCUCAUACAGGGGGAUAACAGUUAGAAAUGACUGCUAACACCGCAUAAUAUAGCGAAACCGCAUGAUUUUGCUAUCAAAUAUUUAUAGGUAUGAGAUGGGCCCGCGUCUGAUUAGCUAGUUGGUGGGGUAAAAGCCUACCAAGGCGACGAUCAGUAGCCGGCUUGAGAGAGUGACCGGCCACAUUGGGACUGAGACACGGCCCAAACUCCUACGGGAGGCAGCAGUGGGGAAUAUUGGACAAGUGGGGGAAACCCUGAUCCAGCCGACGCCGCGUGAGUGAAGAAGUAUUUCGGUAUGUAAAGCUCUAUCAGCAGGGAAGAUAAUGACAGUACCUGACUAAGAAGCCCCGGCUAACUACGUGCCAGCCGCGGC